GAUGAAGAACGUAGCGAAAUGCGAUAAGUAGUGUGAAUUGCAGAAUUCAGUGAAUCAUCGAAUCUUUGAACGCACAUUGCGCCUUCUAGUAUUCUGGGAGGCAUGCCUGUUUGAGCGUCAUUAAACCUCUCUCAAGUAUGAUUACUUGGAUGUGAAGGAAGAGUACCUUAAACUUAAGGAGUGUUCUCCUUUGAAAUUGAUUAGCAGAUGGUAAUGUUAUUAAAUCCCUGAUGUUGUAAGAAAUAACAGUGGUUUUGUAGACUAUUAUCUAGCUUUAAAUUAUAAUUUUUAUUAUGGUUGACCUCAAAUCAGGUAAGGAUACCCGCUGAACUUAAGCAUAACAAUAAGCGGAGGA
rnacentral:misc_RNA from 1 species